AACGAACGCUGGCGGCAGGCUUAACACAUGCAAGUCGAACGGGUGUAGCAAUACAUCAGUGGCAGACGGGUGAGUAACACGUGGGAACCUUCCUAGGGGUACGGAACAACACAGGGAAACUUGAGCUAAUACCGUAUACGUCCGUGAGGAGAAAGAUUUAUCGCCCUUAGACGGGCCCGCGUCGGAUUAGCUAGUUGGUGGGGUAACGGCCCACCAAGGCGACGAUCCGUAGCUGAUCUUAGAGGAUGAUCAGCCACACUGGGACUGAGACACGGCCCAGACUCCUACGGGAGGCAGCAGUGGAGAAUCUUGGACAAUGGGCGCAAGCCUGAUCCAGCCAUGCCGCGUGAGUGAAGAAGGUCUUCGGAUUGUAAAGCUCUUUUGCCAGGGACGAUAAUGACGGUACCUGGAGAAUAAGCCCCGGCAAACUUCGUGCCAGCCGCCGCGGUAA
rnacentral:rRNA from 1 species